AUGGCAGUUUAUGGACUCCGCUGGAAAAGAAAAGGUCUAUUUCACUGUCUUCCUUUCUGCUUAGUCAGAUGAAGCAGAACGCAUUUCCCCCCCUCACCUUUCAAGGUUUAAUUAGUUUGAACAUCCGUAUUUGAGGUUGUCAGCGUAGACUUCCUUAUGUGUGCUUUGAGUUUUACUUUUCUUUUAAAAAAACCUACCCAACUUUCUUUCUUGGUUCUUGCUUUUCUUUUGGUUAAACUCUCAACACUGGAUCGGUAGAAUCUCUGGUUACGGAGAGGUUUUGACUGAGCACUGAUACCAACUGAUUAUGAGAGUCAGGAUGCCGGCUGCCUCAAUGAACUCCUCCUGCGUCAUGCUGCACAGCUGCAGACCGCUGAUGUUGAAGUGACAGAAGGAGAUGCAGUUGGCGUCGAGCUUGUACUGGUCACAGCAGAACUGGAGCCAUUCCCAGACAUGGCGCUUGGUCCAGUAUUCAGGGUGCACUGAUGUCCAGUAGGAAUCACAGGCUGCUUCAAAGCACAGAGAAGUAAAGGAUUACUAAGGGCUCCCCCAAAGAAUACUCCAGCUUUCGGGAAUGGAUAUACUUUGGUGAAGGAAAAUGUGUCAAACGGCCUGCUGGAUGUCACUGGCUGGUUCAUGUUUGAGGGAGCAAGGUGAAUUAUAUCAUCUUUCAGAGAACCCAGGUACUUCUGGGAGGGACCACAGGAGAACUGUGCUAUGUGCUCAGAUGAGUCAAGUCCAAAUGCAGGGAUCUAUCAGGUCUGUACUUCCUUCUGCCUGGCUUUCCACCAGCAUUUGCAUUGAAUGCUGACAUUUCUGGGUUGCCCUAGAUCCGUGCAUCCAGCCUGAUCCCAGCCCUGCUGCUCUUGAAUGGGAAGCCCCAUAUGCACAUACCUGUCUGAUGCUCAAAGGCAGGGUAAUAUUCUUCAUUGUUGAACAGAUCGGUCCAAGACAUCAGGGGGUCACAGAAGGAAGCGUUGGGCAGGAAGGUGCUAUGGGUUACAGAGUCCAACAUCACCCUGGAAUAUUAGAGAGGCUGUGAGGACAUACAGAGCACAAGCUUUCAGAAGCUUCAUGGUGUAGAACUCCUGACUGAAUGAGCCUUAUCUUUUAAUAAAGGGCAGAAGGUAGGAGCUCCCAUCAGGUGCUUUACGCAGAUGGUAUUCUAUAGUCCUCACCACAUCCUGUCUAUCCCAUUACUCCUAUGAGAAAACUGAGCCAGAGGAGUUGAGACAGUUGCCCAAGAAACAUAACAAGGACGUUUCAGAGCUGGGAUUUGAGGAUGGAGACUUGGAUUGUACAAUCCUGUCUCUUUCUUGACAUUUUUCCUCUCUGUUCAUGCCUGACUUUCCGAACUCUGACAUAUAAUAUUUAAAAGUGCUCUUGGGAAAAUGAGUCAAGCAUUGACCUAUGUGAUUCUAUCUAGAAUGCUAAAGUCGGACAGUUCUGAAAGUUCCAAUGUGUUAGCAUGUGAUUGUGUUUGCCACAAUCUUAUUUCCCAGCAAAACCAGUCCUGAACUGACGUUGUAAAGCUUUGUGUGCAUUAGACAUGUGCAUAUGAACACAUACACACACAUAUAACAGCAUGUUACAGCUGUGGGUAAUUUAUUAGGUAAAUUUGUAGGUACACGUUGGUGAACAUUUGCAUGACACCCUGCACCAAUAUUUAUAUGCCGGAGCAAUCUUGAGUCGUCCUGGGAGCUCUGUGUCUGCAGGAUGUGUACCCUAUUACAUUCCUGGCACUGAAGCAUUCUGAAUGUUCCAGUAUACCCUGCUCCAGGUGUGUGAAGAGUCCUCUAGAGCUUUCCCUAGAGCAACCACUCCAAUAGGUGCCGGGAAAGGUUUUGUUUUAUGGAUGAAGGAUGGGGGGCUCUGGGAUUCCAGGCAGCAAGUCCAAGACAACCCAGCCGACAGGAGAUGGAAUUCGAAUGGCAGCUCAGUGGAUCAGCUUGGAAAGUUCCUGAUCCUAACUGCUGCACUUCACUCCCCUAGCACCUUGUGGUGAUAGGAGGGGAGCUUAAGCAAAGGUGUCUGGCUGAGACUGGACAGAAGGCUGUGUUCUGCCCUGCCAACCUCCCCUUCGCUGUGUCCCAUACAACCAAACACUAGUCCUACGCUUCAUUCUGUAUUUCGGCAAUUUCGGUGUGUGGGGGGGUCAUGUUUGGAAGGUUUUUAAUUAUUUUUAAUCUGUUCACAUCAUUUUCUUUAAUUCUUGAAAUAAAGUUAAUGAGAUAAGCUGGUUCAAACCCGGUUCACAGGAAGGACACAGCAGCUCAAAAUGAUAGCAUUGAUAAACACCAGGGUGAAAAUGAGAUGCUUUGUCCAGGGAUAUUGUCAGAUAGAACUGGAAGGCAUGAAAGCUUCUCCAUCAUUUGGUACAGUGUCCUCUGAACUGCAGUUUUGUUUGUUUGUUUACUUAUUUAUUUACUUACUGCCAGUCACCAAGGUAAUUUUACUGAAUCCGUUUGCGUCUCUAAAUACAAUGAAUUAAAAAUUUUAAACAGUCA